rnacentral:rRNA from 1 species
AUGAUCUCCACGCUUCUGGGUGGAUCAGAUCUGCGGGCCUCCAUAGGGAUGUAUGUAUUUCGGGCGAAAGCCUUGACCCGACUUUGUCGGUGCCGUCGACGGCGGCGCUUUCGGGCGUCGUUUCCUUCCUUGGAGGCGUCGUUGUGGAACUCAUCUUCUUCUAUGUGGGGCUCGGGCUCUCCGGGUGAAAACCUAAGCUCCAGAUUUUUCGGAGCGGGCGACGGCGACGUCUUCGUUGUUUCCCUCUUGGGGGCGUUGCUUGGGAGAGUUAGCUUGUGCUUGGUGCGUUUGGUUCUUUCCUGCGUCGGGUUUGGUGGAUGCCGGGGCAGCGGCCCCGGACGGCUGAUGAACGCCGAGGCGGCGGCCUCGGAAAGUGAUGCGCGGUGCGGCUCCAUGGGGCGGGGCGGCGGCUCGGCCUUCACUUGGGUGGCAAUCUUGGGCCACUUGGGUGGCAGGCUUGUCGGUCCGGUCGACGCGUUCCAGAGGGGGCGGUCUGACUUUGCGUCGGGGCGGCGGCCCCGGAUGUGGUGCGACGUUCGUGGUCUGCGAGCGGUUGCCCUGAGCAGCGUGGGCUGCGGGCAGCUGGGUUGCGCGGCGUUGCUGCUCGAGCAGCAGUGGUACGUCGGGGCGGCGGCUCCGGAAGGUGGUGUCGGUUGA